UACGGGGGGGGCAAGCGUUGUUCGGAAUUACUGGGCGUAAAGGGGUCGUAGGUGGCCAACUAAGUCAGACGUGAAAUCCCUCAGCUUAACUGGGGAACUGCGUCUGAUACUGGAUGGCUUGAGUUUGGGAGAGGGAUGCGGAAUUCCAGGUGUAGCGGUGAAAUGCGUAGAUAUCUGGAGGAACACCGGUGGCGAAGGCGGCAUCCUGGACCAACACUGACACUGAGGAGCGAAAGCCAGGGGAGCAAACGGG
rnacentral:rRNA from 1 species